AUUCAGCUGACGAGUCCCAAAUGGGACGAAACGCGCGUCAAACUGGAU
rfam:Schistosoma curassoni strain Dakar, Senegal genome assembly, scaffold: SCTD_scaffold0016987